rnacentral:pre_miRNA from 1 species
AAUGGGAUUGCUGGGUCACAUGGUAAGUGUAUGUUUAACAUCUUAAAGAAAUUGCCAAACUGUUUUCCAAGGCAGCUCAAUUGUUUUAUCUUUCCAUCAGCAUU